rnacentral:lncRNA from 1 species
GGGUAUUUUCAUAUUAAUGGAUUGGGGUAAUCACAAUAUGUCUAAUCUCUUUCUUUCUUCCUACCCGCAGGCUAAUUGAUAUUAUUUUUCUUUACAUUCUAACCUUAUAUCUCUCUCUAAACUUAUUUUUCUCCCUAAAAUUCAACUUUUUUUCUCUCUCUAAACUAAGCUUUCUCUCUCUCUCUCUUUCUAAAAUUUCAACUUUCUCACUCCUUCUAAUUUCGACUAUAUUUUUCUUUCUAUUUUUUAAUUAUGCUCUCUCUCUCUAACUUAUACUCUCUCUCCCUUUUUUUCUAAAAAGAUGUUGAAACUUUUGGUAACAUUAUCUAAAAUUAAUUAAAUAAAUAAAUUGUAUAUUUUUUGUAAUAUUAAAUAAUAUGGCUAAUUAAUAUUACCGUGCGAACCAAACACAGAAAUUUCACAUUCUUAGUAAUAGGAUGAAUAGAAAUAAGAUUCUCGGAUAUCUUUUAUUCCUAGUAACCUUUCAUAAUGCGAACCAAACGCACCCUAAGGGUAAGGACAGGGUCCAUAUUAAUAC